rnacentral:lncRNA from 1 species
AAGAACAACCCAUCCCAUUUGAAAGGCAUGCAACCAUUAGUCUGUUCCCAUCAAAAAUUAAAAGCUAGCAGUAUGCCAAUGUUUCCAUCGUGCAUCAUGGUGCCGGUUCCUUGAUUGAACUUCGUCGAAGGCAUUCAUGACUUUGACGAGUGGUGAGAGAUGGAACCUUGGGUUUGGACAUUUCCCUGGGCAUCUCGCUUAUGAAGUAAAAAUUCGGUUUCGUUAUUGCCAGAAAAACUCUACUACAUAUGUACGUCAUCUAUCUGCUUCUCUAUCUGUCGAGGCUAACAAUGUUGAGAUGCUUUCAUCAAAGGCUUUGAUAGCCUUGAUAACAAAUGGAGAUUGAACCUGUGGCUUCUUCCUUCUGAUUUUCAUACAUAAUAAGGCAUGUUGAUGGUCAGUAGGUGAACUCCAAUAUUAUGAUAAAUAUGGAGGUUUUAUUUUUUUCAAGCAUGGGUGAAGCGAAUAUGCAUAUUACUGCUCCAGAAUUUGAUUUGCCUUUGGAUUCUCCUUUUUUUUUCUUUUUUUUUUCUUUUUUUUUGGUAAGCGAUAUGCCCU